UACCAGCUCUCCGAGUUGUAGGGACGAUUAUUGGGCUUAAAGCGUCCGUAGCCGGCUUAGCAAGUCUCCUGUUAAAUUCAGCGACCCAAUCGUUGAGCCGCGGGAGAUACUACUAGGCUAGGAGGCGGGAGAGGUCGACGGUACUUUCGGGGUAGGGGUGAAAUCCUAUAAUCCCGGGAGGACCACCAGUGGCGAAGGCUGUCGACUAGAACGCGCUCGACGGUGAGGGACGAAAGCUGGGGGAGCGAACCGGAUUAGAUACCCGGGUAGUCCCAGCUGUAAACGAUGCGGGCUAGGUGUUGGGGUGGCUACGGGCCACUUCAGUGCCGCAGGAAAGCCAUUAAGCCCGCGCCUGGGGAGUACGGCCGCAGGGCUGAAACUUAAAGGAAUUGGCGGGGAGCACCACAAGGCAUGAAGCUUGCGGUUC
rnacentral:rRNA from 1 species